rnacentral:tRNA from 1 species
CCUUUCAUAGCUUAAUGGUCAAAGCAUUGAUACGUAAAGCCAAAGGUCCUCGGUUCGAAUCCCAGCGUGGGUG